rnacentral:rRNA from 1 species
AACGAACGCUGGCGGCAGGCUUAACACAUGCAAGUCGAACGCCCCGCAAGGGGAGUGGCAGACGAGUGAGUAACGCGUGGGAACGUGCCCUUCGCUUCGGAAUAGCCCCGGGAAACUGGGAGUAAUACCGAAUACGCCGUAUUGGGAAAGAUUUAUCGGCGAAGGAUCGGCCCGCGUUAGAUUAGCUAGUUGGCGGUGUAAUGGACCACCAAGGCUACGAUCUAUAGCUGGUCUGAGAGGAUGAUCAGCCACACUGGGACUGAGACACGGCCCAGACUCCUACGGGAGGCAGCAGUGGGGAAUCUUGGACAAUGGGCGCAAGCCUGAUCCAGCCAUGCCGCGUGAGUGAAGAAGGCCUUAGGGUUGUAAAACUCUUUCGCCGGAGAAGAUAACGACGGUAUCCGGAGAAGAAGCCCCGGCUAACUUCGCGCCAGCAGCCGCCGUAAUAC